GGCGGGUGCAAAGGUAGUGAGUAAUUUCAGUUAAUUGUUCACAGGCAGGUACAGAUCGAUCUCCUUGUUCUACUCUUUCCCUCCUUCUUACUACCACUCCUGAGUAGUCUUAA
ensembl:misc_RNA Y_RNA Y RNA